UAGGGAAUCUUCGGCAAUGGACGAAAGUCUGACCGAGCAACGCCGCGUGAGUGAAGAAGGUUUUCGGAUCGUAAAACUCUGUUGUUAGAGAAGAACAAGGACGUUAGUAACUGAACGUCCCCUGACGGUAUCUAACCAGAAAGCCACGGCUAACUACGUGCCAGCAGCCGCGGUAAUACGUAGGUGGCAAGCGUUGUCCGGAUUUAUUGGGCGUAAAGCGAGCGCAGGCGGUUUCUUAAGUCUGAUGUGAAAGCCCCCGGCUCAACCGGGGAGGGUGAUUGGAAACUGGGAGACUUGCGUGCAGAAGAGGAGAGUGGAAUUCCAUGUGUAGCGGUGAAAUGCGUAGAUAUAUGGAGGAACACCAGUGGCGAAGGCGGCUCUCUGGUCUGUAACUGAAGCUGAGGCUAGAAAGCGUGGGGAGCAAACAGG
rnacentral:rRNA from 1 species